AGCGAAUAGAUACCCAGGUAGUCCACGCCGUAAACGAUGGAUGCUAGCUGUUAUGAGUAUCGACCCUCGUAGUAGCGUAGCUAACGCGUUAAGCAUCCCGCCUGUGGAGUACGGUCGCAAGACUAAAACAUAAAGGAAUUGACGGGGACCCGCACAAGCGGUGGAGCGUGUUGUUUAAUUCGAUGGUAAGCGAAGAACCUUACCCAGGCUUGACAUCCUGCCAAGUUCGCCGAAAGGCGAGUGUGCCUUCGGGCCGCAGUGACAGGUGAUGCAUGGCCGUCGUCAGCUCGUGUCGUGAGAUGUUUGGUUAAGUCCAUCAACGAGCGCAACCCUUAUAGUUAGUUGUAUUUCUCUAGCUAGACUGCCCUGGUAACAGGGAGGAAGGGGGGAUGAUGUCAGGUCAGUAUUUCCCUUACGUCUGGGGCUACAAACACGCUACAAUGGCCGGUACAAAGGGCUGCCAACCCGCGAGGGGAGCAAAUCCCAUCAAAGCCGGUCUCAGUUCGGAUUGUAGGCUGAAACUCGCCUGC
rnacentral:rRNA from 1 species